CCCAUGCCCAGUGUGGGUUCUGCCUAC
rnacentral:piRNA from 1 species